UGGGGAAUAUUGGACAAUGGGGGCAACCCUGAUCCAGCAAUGCCGCGUGAGUGAUGAAGGCCUUAGGGUUGUAAAGCUCUUUCGGCGGGGACGAUGAUGACGGUACCCGCAGAAGAAGCCCCGGCUAACUUCGUGCCAGCAGCCGCGGUAAUACGAAGGGGGCUAGCGUUGUUCGGAAUUACUGGGCGUAAAGGGCGCGCAGGCGGCUCUUGAAGUCAGGCGUGAAAGCCCCGGGCUCAACCUGGGAAUAGCGCUUGAUACUCGAGGGCUUGAGUUCGGGAGAGGAGAGUGGAAUUCCCAGUGUAGAGGUGAAAUUCGUAGAUAUUGGGAAGAACACCGGUGGCGAAGGCGGCUCUCUGGACCGAUACUGACGCUGAGGCGCGAAAGCGUGGGGAGCAAACAGGAUUAGAUACCCCCGUAGUCC
rnacentral:rRNA from 1 species